UACGGAGGGAGCAACCGUUAUCCGGAUUCAUUGGGUGUAAAGGGUGCGUAGACGGGAAGUCAAGUUAGUUGUGAAAUCCCUCGGCUCAACUGAGGAACUGCAACUAAAACUAACAUUCUUGAGUGCUGGAGAGGAAAGUGGAAUUCCUAGUGUAGCGGUGAAAUGCGUAGAUAUUAGGAGGAACACCAGUGGCGAAGGCGACUUUCUGGACAGUAACUGACGUUGAGGCACGAAAGUGUGGGGAGCAAACAGG
rnacentral:rRNA from 1 species